rnacentral:rRNA from 1 species
UACGGAGGAUCCGAGCGUUAUCCGGAUUUAUUGGGUUUAAAGGGUGCGUAGGCGGUUCGAUAAGUUGGAGGUGAAAUGUUAGGGCUUAACCCUGAAACUGCCUCCAAUACUGUUGGGCUAGAGAGUAGUUGCGGUAGGCGGAAUGUAUGGUGUAGCGGUGAAAUGCCUAGAGAUCAUACAGAACACCGAUUGCGAAGGCAGCUUACCAAACUAUAUCUGACGUUGAGGCACGAAAGCGUGGGGAGCAAACAGG